rnacentral:rRNA from 1 species
UACGUAGGGUCCGAGCGUUGCCCGGAAUUAUUGGGCGUAAAGGGCUCGUAGGCGGCUCGUCACGUCGGGAGUGAAAACUCGGGGCUUAACCCCGAGCCUGCUUCCGAUACGGGCAGACUAGAGGUAGGCAGGGGAGAGCGGAACUCCUGGUGUAGCGGUGGAAUGCGCAGAUAUCAGGAAGAACACCGGUGGCGAAGGCGGCUCUCUGGGCCUUACCUGACGCUGAGGAGCGAAAGCGUGGGUAGCGAACAGG